CCAAAACACAUUUGAGACUCAAGAGUUCAUUGAUCACAAUCACCGAGCUUCCGACUCACUUUAUCGAGCGAAUUUUUCAAGAUGAAACGGUGAUUUACUUCUCUCCAACCAGGACCCCUCUAACACGAAGGAAAGAUUAUCCCCACCCCACGACUUAGCCUUCGCAAGUUACCGCUGCUGGCAUCACAGUGGUGUUCAACUUUACCACCAAUCCUCACUGAAAAUUUGGAGUUCGGAUUCGAAUGUGCCACUCGAGCCUCGGCUCUUACACCGAGCAGAUGGUAUCGAUUCUUUCUUUUGCAUUGCAGUAAUUAUAAUAUUACUAUUAGAUUACAAAAAUUUAUUAAAAAUGUUCGUUAUGAGAUUACAUUACUGUAUUGACAAAAUAUAUCUAUCUCGCAUA
rnacentral:lncRNA from 1 species